ACCGCGGAGGGAAGCCAAGCCAAUCCAAUCGGCUCUUUUCAGAGCCACCUAAUAAUUGAAAGAGAAUAUUGGUUUCAACAAAAAAAAAAAAAACACAACGUAGGCCGUCUUCGGACGUAACACAUACCUUUGCGAUCGCCCGCUCCCCGUCCGAGGUGGAGCCUUAGUCAUGAUGCCUUGUCUACACAACUACGCUACUGAGCGCGUUCCAUGUAAGGUCACCGUCAGUGUUAUGAGAGGUUCCCCAAACAUUGGGAAAUUAAUAGCGAUGUGUUCCCAUUUUCUUUCCCUUCUGAUAAUUUAAAGAACUUACUCUACUGUAGAAUCUUCCCGACAUGCAGCAGGCAAAGAACGAUAUCUAUGUUAAACGUUUCCUGAAACUGCCACCACCGCCAUCAGAGAAACCUACACGAGGAAAAAUAGCACUUCCAACCGUUUUGCUAAUUUAUGGAGAAGGUUGCAUACCUUGCCAUUGCGCAAUCUUGUUGCUGUACACGCACUACCAACAGCAAGACCUUUUACAGCCUCUCACCUUGCUCUCCAGCUGAGCUGUGCGGUUUGCUACCCUCGCACGUACGACCAAGAGAUACUGUUCCGUCUCGAAGUUCUCGAAACAACGCUGCCUAUAGACAACCUUGAUAUACGUGCGAUACAGUGCAGUGUAGUUUAUCGUGAUUCAACGAUCACGAGAGGUUGAAAGAUCAUCAUCAUAUCAUGAGAAGGAAAUAAAAUUGGAAGCAUGGUAGGAUCCUGAGAUUCUAAUCAGUGAGUGGAUCCACCAAAAACUGAUAACAGUAUUAAAUGUUGUUCGAGAAACAUCCAUCGUACACACGAUAAAGCAAGCCGCACCAAAGCUGUAUUGAGGUGCGAUAUCUGGAGCAUAACGUUGGAGAGCAAUUUCAGCUAUUUUGAAAUAGCGGCCGCUCCGUUCCAGAUCAGUGGAGGCAUCUUGAAUCAGGUAGGUGAGUAACGUUCCAUUAGCUGUUAGCGAAGGUGGCCUGAAAGCUCACUUCUCUCUAUCCAAUUACUGCUGCUCGGGUUGUGGUAAACCGAUAAGAGCUCUUGGUUUAUUAGAAAUCAAUUACGAUAUUUUUAAAAUGAAAAUAAUUUUGCACUUUUUAAAAUUCAAAUUUAUACCCAAUGGAGUACGAAUUCCCCAGCAUCUUUUGCACGGUAUCAGUAUCCCUUAGGGAUGCCUUAAAAAUGACAACGCUUCCAAGAAUUCUAUUUUUAGACGACCGAGCAUAAGCUGCGCUAUACAGACUCUAAUCCUUUCCAGACACACCGACACACGCCGGAAUCGGUAACGAAGGUAAUACGCCGAAACAGCAUUCCUUCACUGCUUUCAUCUGAUACUCCUCUUUUUAUGUUGCUCCUUUCCCUUGGCAUUAAGUGUUGGGCCAUAAAUUAUUGAAAAAAUCAAUUCCCGCUGGGAGAUUACUUCGGGAAGAACUUCGGGUUCACUGAAUCGCUCUAGAACCUUCCGGUACGACCUUCAGGAGCCGACCACUGGCUAGUCGGAAGGUUAUUAAAUGCGAUGAACCGCAGGACAUCAUGCAGUGCCUUCCUUCAAGGGACACAGGGAAUUCCAUCAGGAAAGAAAUAUGCAUGCCUUACGGUUAAGGAGUGCUCCAACAGCACACGCCGGGCAGUUGCAUCUCAUUAGGAUUGGGGUGGAUGAUGCGGUAUUUAAUUUCAAUUUUUGUUGCAGAGAAUCACCAACCCUGCGUCAGUGAAGCUGAACUAUGAAUUAUUAUUCAUUAUUCUUGCUCGUGAUUGCAACAGAAUACAUACAGCCGACCGGGUAAAGUCGGACAUCACAUAACUCUGUCGCCUUCCGGAUGGUGGCACGACCUGCGCCCAUCCAUCGGCGGGUGGGACAGUUGGGCGACCCGGUUGCAUGUUGAAAGCCCGUCCACAAAGUGCACCGUGACAAGCUGUAAUUUGUAUGUGCGUGCUUUCUAUGCAUACGAAAAGCCCCGAAUGCAUUUUCCCGCCGUCCAGUGGACAGUGGUGGACACUGAACAGCAGGGAAAAUUGAGUCAGUUCUAGGCAGCGAGUCUGUUAAGCAAAUCACACCAUAAAAUAGGUUAAUGCUCAAUAUACAUAAAAUGUGUAAACGCGCAGACGACGGUCACGUUCUGGACACAAAAGCGUGACGGGAAAAAACGCGUCACGAAGGAAAACGCUGCCCGAACUGGAGUAAAAAGUGAAAUAAUUUUCCAUACUUGAAAAUUAAAUUACCCGCAAACAGCUCCGGAACGAACCUGAUGAUCCUUGAUCCAGUUCCUGGUGCAAUGCUUCCCAGCUGCUGCUGGCACGGAUCCAGCGGGAUAUCUCGAAGUUUAGCACAAUCCCGGCAGCACGACAAAGUAGUGUGCUCAUUUGGAAGGUCAGUGAAUGGAGAGCACGCAUAGUGCUAUGUUCCCGGUUCUCUUAACUGUGGGUCAUGCGAUUGGUUUUCGUGCUCCAGAGAUAAACUGGGUCGAGGAUAUGAGUGUCAAGCGAGAAAUUUUUGGAAAAACAUCAUUUAGUUUAAGCUAAAAGUGGGUCAUCGGGUAAAUCAUAGCUUCCCAGAAAGUAGGAAAAAGUCGUACAAGGAUGUCAUAGUUAACUAUUUUCUUGGAGCCUAAUAGCAUCUCUUUCAGGAUUCCUCGCAAUUCUUGACAGCGCCGUUAGAGUGAGCAACCUUACCCAUUCUCUACAUUGUAGCAUCUACUAAUUGGAAACCCCUACACAAACUUCUUGCACCAUCAAUCAUUUUCUAAUCAUUUAAAAAAGUAAAAUUUGGUGUGACUAAUACACCUCCACCAUCUUGUCGAAGAUUCCUUAACAACACUUGCUUUUCAUUUUUCGCGGUCAAAGUUAAUAUCGCCCACAGUGGCGCACACAGGUAAGCCACACCGUUUUAUGCGGCCUUCGACACGGAACAUGGUGAUAAAAGAAGCCGAAGGUCAACUAUAAUCACCGAAAAGCCUAAACCUCUGGAGACACACACUUCAACGCCCCACCAACAAGGAACGGUGCAUGCGCAACUAGUUUAUGGUCGCAACACGGGGUUGUAGCUGGACUGCCCUUUUCGUGCAUCAAAAAAUUAGAUACGUUGACCUUUAAACUGAGGUCUUUGGACGUGGCGUGGUGCACAGACGGAAACAUUGAAAUUGAACAUGCAAAUUGGUCUCACGUGAUCAAAACAUGCCAUAUCAUGAGGACUAGAGUCUUUGUUAGAACACAGAAUGAAUUCUAUCGUGACAUUGCACGCCAUAAAGUGCAUUUACAGUGUUCUUCAGACAAUACAGCAAGCAUCCAAGUUUUUGAAUAUAGAUAGCACUGAUUCAUUACUUGUCCGGAGCGGCCUGCUAGUAGACAAUGCCUCAUACGACAGGACCGGAGUUCAAGUCCCACCAGAACCGUUCCCCCGUAGCGAGGAGUGACUAUCCCCAAUUACGCGAUAUCAUUAAGUCUAGCAAGCCAGAAAUGGCAGGCAUGACCCUAAGAGAU